rnacentral:rRNA from 1 species
GACGGUACCGUAAGAAUAAGGACCGGCUAACUCCGUGCCAGCAGCCGGGGUAAUACGGAGGGUCCGAGCGUUAUCCGGAAUUAUUGGGUUUAAAGGGUCCGCAGGCGGGCUGAUAAGUCAGGGGUGAAAUGGUGCGCCUCAACCGUAGCACUGCCCUUGAUACUGUUAGUCUUGAGUAAUGGUGGAGUGGCCGGAAUAUGUAGUGUAGCGGUGAAAUGCAUAGAUAUUACAUAGACCACCGAUCGCGAAGGCAGGUCACUAACCAUUUACUGACGCUGAUGGACGAAAGCGUGGGGAGCGAACAGGAUUAGAUACCCUGGU